AGUCGAGCGGUAAGGCCCUUCGGGGUACACGAGCGGCGAACGGGUGAGUAACACGUGGGUGAUCUGCCCUGCACUUCGGGAUAAGCCUGGGAAACUGGGUCUAAUACCGGAUAUGACCAAGGACUGCAUGGUUUUUGGUGGAAAGGUUUACUGGUGCAGGAUGGGCCCGCGGCCUAUCAGCUUGUUGGUGGGGUAAUGGCCUACCAAGGCGACGACGGGUAGCCGACCUGAGAGGGUGACCGGCCACACUGGGACUGAGACACGGCCCAGACUCCUACGGGAGGCAGCAGUGGGGAAUAUUGCACAAUGGGCGAAAGCCUGAUGCAGCGACGCCGCGUGAGGGAUGACGGCCUUCGGGUUGUAAACCUCUUUCAGCAGGGACGAAGCGAGAGUGACGGUACCUGCAGAAGAAGCACCGGCCAACUACGUGCCAGCAGCCGCGGUAAUACGUAGGGUGCAAGCGUUGUCCGGAAUUACUGGGCGUAAAGAGCUCGUAGGCGGUUUGUCGCGUCGUUUGUGAAAACUCAAGGCUCAACUUCGAGCUUGCAGGCGAUACGGGCAGACUUGAGUACUGCAGGGGAGACUGGAAUUCCUGGUGUAGCGGUGAAAUGCGCAGAUAUCAGGAGGAACACCGGUGGCGAAGGCGGGUCUCUGGGCAGUAACUGACGCUGAGGAGCGAAAGCGU
rnacentral:rRNA from 1 species